AAAUUUUCAUUUMCUAAACCCAGGACCCGAACACCAGUCAAUAAUGAAUGAUAUGUGUACGUUCAUAGGCGGGGGGACACUUUUGCGGGAAGUUGGGGGUAAUCCCUGUUCCUCGGCCAUAGUCCGCGCUUUUAGGCGGGUUCUGUGGAUCGAUACGGUGUGGGUGUUCCCUUAAGUCGUCACUAAUUGUAACUCGUAAUCGCGUUCGAACUGAGUCAAUUUCAUAUCUCUCGGCCGAUUAGACCACGGUCGGCGGCGCCAAUGUGGUGCACCGAGUUUAACUGGGGGAGGCCGCAUUUCGCACUAAUUUCAAAAGUGGAUGAUCUCAAUUUGAUUUUGAUUCGACACUGUGCGGACAAUAGUUCUUUGGGUUUUUGCUUUCAAUGAGAUUGUGUUGGUUGAACUUGAGUGCUGUCGACCCUUUGUUUGACCCUAAUCUAUGGGGUGAUACGGGUCGGCAUUUGAAAAUGAAUGUAACUUAGCGGUCCCUUGAUGCUCGAUUCGAAUUUUGGGUUUCCUGAACUGCCAUGGGGUAUAGGGGGAUCUCCUCGGACAGGAUAUUAGCUAUUAGGUGCAAUUUGGAGUGGUAAAAAUCAAUGAGUCGGACAUAUGGAGGCAGCAGUCGAAUGGUGCACUCGCGGUUAAUCACUCGAAUUACAUAUAAGUGGUUGUGCAGUCCAGUUCCACGUCGUUUACUUUACCUUUCUCUACCCGAUGUGAAAGAUUUAAUCUUCUUUGCUUUUUGAUAGAUACUUUGGAUCAAUCUUCCGCCUAAAUCGUCAUUUUUCCUUAGUCGUGCAGGUAAAAUUGGGCCGUGACCCCACACAUGUGUGGCGGGCAGUGGGAGAAGUUUCGAUAGUCGGAUCAGGGAUUGUUUGAUUUCGUGCUGUCUUCUCCGUUCAGCAUUGUGC
rnacentral:rRNA from 1 species